CCGUGUAGGCCUCAGUGAAGCCUGAACUGGAGUAGGCUUGCAGGGAGGCCCCAAGCAAGGAAGGAAGGAGGCAGGUAGGCAGAGUGGCCCCCACAGGUCUCUGCAGCAGACCCUCUGCCCAGCCCAGCAUUUGCCAGUGGCGAUUGGACCCUCGUGGCUCAGGUGCAACUGAAGGACCUCUUUCCUCAGGGAUGGAACCAAGCGAUGAAGAACCAAAAGCAGUUUGGCAGUUAGCCUGCAGUGGUAAAUCCUAAAGGUGUCUGUUUUUGUGCAGCCAGCUUCUAGUAGCAGCAAAGUGAGCUGGAUAGAUUGGACCAGCGAGGAACGUUGAUCUGGAGGCUGGAAGCGUGAAUGACACACAGAGCAAGAUACAGCCGGGUGUUAUGGCGGAUGCCAAGUCUAGCGUCCAAACUGCGGGUGACUCCAAGAUGUAAAGACCAAAUGAAGCACACUAGUUCAAGAAACCAGGGGUAGUUACCAAUAAUUUUGGUUCAGUAAUGUUAAUAAGAGCACCUCUGAGUUCCUAUUGCCCACUCAGCUCCUUUGUGAUGGGAAGGGAGUUGCAUUCACAGUGCCUUAUCUGACUUUCCUGCUGAGGUGAUUAUCAUUAGCUUGUUUGAGGCAACUGCAGAGGAAGGGAAGUAAAGGAUCUGUCUUCGGAGAAGAGAAGAGACUAACUUGAAAGUUAACUCUGGAGUCUACUUAUACAUCCCCUAACAUAAGGAAAGGCAUGAGGCUAAUCCCCUUUCAAUUCACUUGGUAACUGGUGAACCUGGGGGUGACUGUCCCACUGCCUGAUAAGUGACGUCCUCAAUAUGCCAAGCAAUGGGGAGCCCAUGAUCCCAUGAGACUCCAGAGGAUGUUAAAAGUGAGAAUCAGAAGCCUGUGGUAUCAGACAUAAGCAGAGAGGCUUCUGGCAGUCCAUAGAAUAGCAGUGCUAGCAACAGCCCCUCCACAACCUGUUAAAAUUGGCCGCCCAGAGAUGUAAGUUUGGGCGGGGUAUAAAUUUGAUCAAUCAAUCAAUCAUAUUAUACCCUGUACCAUACAGGACAGAUAUAUUUUUAAUGGAAUGAGUGUGCGCGGUACUAAAGUCAUAGUUGGCAACUGGCACUGGCUUUUAUACCUUUUUUAAAAAAUAAGUUGUACCACUGCUGCUGCCCCAUUUAGGAGACAGACUAAGGACACAGCAGCCACCACAGUGCCCCCACCCGCCUGGGAAUGAAUGACAGCAGGCGGAACUGCCAGUGGGCUCCUUGGGAAACUGAGAAGGGAGGAGAGCGGAGAAGGGAAUGGCAAUAGGAGGAACCAAGGAACCAGUUAACUAUGUUGUGAUAUCAAGCUUGUGCUAUGGAUCACAUGGCUAGCUCAAACUACCUGGGUUCCCUUGGUGAAAUGUUUGCAUCAGCCCUUGCAUAUUCCUAUACAUCAGUCAGGAAGGCGGCAAUUAUGAAAUUUUCCUAUUUGCACCUCCUGUGUCUUUACACCAUUAGACAAUGAGGGAGUGAAAGGGAUUAUUAAGGAGAAUAUGGAGGUUGCAGAGAAGCUAAAUGAGUCCUUUGCGUCCGUCUUCACGGCAGAGGAUACUGAGCAUAUACCUGUUCCUGAACCAGGCUAUUUGGUGAUGGAGGCUAAAGAACUGAGUCAGAUAGAAGUGACAAGAGUUGAUGUUCUAAACUCUCUGAAAAAAUUAAAAAAUAGCAAAUCACCAGGGCCAGAUGGCAUUCAUCCAAGAGUCCUCAAAGAACUCAAAUGUGAAAUUGCCAGCCUCCUUGCAAAAAUAUAUAACUUAUAUAUAACCCUACAAUCAGGCUCUGUACUGGAGGACUGGAAAGUAGCCAAUGUAACACCGAUUUUCAAAAAGGGGUUCAGGGGCGAUCCAAGAAAUUACAGACCAGUUAGCUUAACAUCCGUUCCAGGCAAAUUGAUGGAAAGCAUCCUCAAAGAUAAAAUUGUAAAGCACAUAGAAGAACAGGCCCUGCUGGGAGAGAACCAGCAUGGCUUCUGCAAAGGUAAAUUUUGCCUCACAAACUUUUUGGAGUUCUUUGAGAGUGUCAACAAGUGUGUUGAUAAAGGUGAUCCAGUUGACAUAGUAUACCUGGACUUCCAAAAAGCUUUCAACAAAGUUCCUCAUCAAAGACUCCUGAGAAAACCUAGCAGUCAUGGGAUAAGGGGACAAGUACAUGUGUGGAUUGCUAGCUAGUUGAAGGACAGGAAAUGGAGGGUAGGUAUAAAUGGAGAGUUUUCACAAUGGAGGGAAAUUCCCACAGGGAUCUGUACUGGGACUGGUGCUUUUUAAUUUAUUCAUAAAUGAUCUAGAAGCAGGGAUAAGCAGCGAGGUGGCCAGAUUUGCAGAUGAUACCAAACUCUUUAGGGUAGUGAAAUCCAAAACAGAUUGUGAGGAGCUCCAAAAGGAUCUCUCCAAACUGGGUGAGUGGGUGACAAAAUGGCAAAUACGGUUCAGUGUUGGCAAGUGUAAGGUGAUGUACAUAGGGACGAAAACCCCCAGCUUCAAGUAUAUGUCGAUGGGAUCUGAGCUGUCAGUGACUGACCAGGAGAGGGAUCUUGGGGUCGUGGUGGACAGCUCGUUGAAAGUGUCGACUCAAUGUGCUGCAGCUGUGAAAAAGGCCAAUUCCAUGCUAGGGAUAAUUAGGAAGGAGAUUGAAAAUAAAAUGGCUAAUAUUAUAAUGCCCCUAUACGAAAUUAUAGUGUGGCCACACUUGGAGUACUGCGUACAAUUCUCGUCACCACAUCUAAAAAAGGACAUUGUAGAACUGGAAAAGGUUUAGAAGAGGGCAACCAAGAUGAUCGGGGCCUAGAGCAUCUUCCUUAUGAGGCAAGGCUACAACACCUGCGGCUUUUUAGUUUAGAAAAAAGGUGACUGCGGGGAGACAUGAUAGAGGCCUAUAAAAUCAUGCAUGGUGUGGAGGAAGUGGAUAGAGAGAAAUUCUUGUCCCUCUCACAUAACACUAGAACCAGGGGUCAUCCCAUGAAAUUGCCAGGAAACUUAGGACCAACACACAGAAGUACUUUUCCACACAAAACGUAAUCAACUUGUGGAACUCUCUGCCACAAGAUGUGAUGUUGGCUACUAGUUUGGAUGGCUUUAAGAGGGGCUUCAUGGAGGAGAGGUCUAUCAACCCCUUCUAGUUGGCAGGCUAUAGGCCACCUUCAGCCUCAGAGGCAGGAUGCCUCUGAGUACCAGUUGCAGGGGAGUAACAGCAGGAGAGAGGGCAUGCCCUCAACUCCUGCCUGUAGACUUCCAGUGGCACCUGGUGGGCCACUGUGUGAGACAUGAUGCUGGACUACAUGGGCCUUGGGCCUGAUUCAGCAGCACUGUUCUUAUGUUACACCAUCCUCCUGACGGGUGUUUCCAAAAUCUUUUGAGACACAAGCGUCUCAAAACAGCAGUAUUUGCUCCAGUAAAUCUCUCAUACAGAGUAACCACAAUAUGAAUGUACCUGAAGGAUAUAAUUGGGGUGGAAGUCAAGUUUUCCUGAAAGUUUCACAUUUCCUGCAUUGUUCUUUAGGAGUAUGGGGAUAAAAUAUUCUGGAGUAAGUGAUGAUGCAAUGAGGUGUCUUGAAGUACUUUAGCAGCCUUAGGUAAAGGAAGGUUCACAGUAUAAUAUUGAUUCACCACCUCUUCACUUCUCUUUUAAUUUCUCUGUGACUUGCUCAAUUACAGGUGUCACAAACUGCAGAAUUAGUGGGUACACUGUAGUAUUUGUCAAAGGUGAAUGUCCAAAUGUGAUGAGUGUGAAUACUGACAAUCCCAGAUGAAUUUUAUGAAUGUUUAAAACUCAGAGGAUGUUUGCAGUCCCCAAAAUGGGAUUGUCAGUAUUCACCCAUGUCUAUCUGGCAAGCAAGGACAUGCACCAGUGAACGCUGGCAUUCACAAAACUAAUCUGUCAACAUCCGCAUAUAGAUAUUGAUAUUUAGUAAGUUUUGGACAUUCACUGUAACAUCUACAGCAGAGGUGGGUGAAUUUCAGGCUUGCAGGAUCUGUUUUGAACUCCAAAGUCCACCACUGAAGGAGAUGCACAAUAGGGCCUCAGGAGAGCACUCCCAAGUCCAAAAGGGUGGGCUACACCCUAUGAGCCAUACCCUGGGAUAACUUCCAUAUACAAGAACAAAUCUACACCACAGAUUCUAACACAACGCUCUAAAAACAGCCAGCAGAGCUGCAUGGAGAUCUGGCCAAAGUCAACCAAUUAAUACUCAUAUUUUACAGGUGAGGGGCACAGAGGCUAAGAGGGAUUCAAGUAGUGCAGGGCCAUAUUCUACUUGCCAUUUUGGAACAAUUGGGAGUCGGAAGCCCUUGCUGAUAUUCUGAAAACCAUCCAGAGAUCAACUAGUAGAUCCUGAUCUACCUUCUGCCCACUCCUGGUCUAUGGUGUACAUAUGACAGGGGCCCGGGGGCAAAUGUGCCUACCUGUGGCAUAUACAUUCAGUGCACACAGUGUCAGAAACAGACAUGCCAUGCACGAGCAAUAUUCAAACAUAUUGUUGUACCUAUGUUCAGAUUUCUGUAUGUAACCUAUGUUCAGAUUUCUGUACGUACAUGUUUUUGUGUCACUGACUGUAACUGUGUUCAUUUAAAAAGUGAAGUAUAGGUCCCUCAAAUUUACGGUACAGAUAGGAAGUGUACCACUCUUUUUUAAUCCAAUGUAACAUGAGGAUAACACUGUAGAGAGAUUGUUCAAGUGUUGAAUAUAAUGUGUAAAUAGGGCUAGAUUAUCCAUGUGCAGAACAUAAUGUGCUAAUAGGAUUAUGGUAAUCCAGUAUACUUGGCAUACACAAUACAGAUACAGAGCUCCUGAUUUCAUAACAUGAAAAAGUACUCACAGUCUGAUCCUAUAUGUGUUUGCUCAGAAGUAAGUCUUAUUGGAUACACCUACUCAGUACAAGUGGUUUCUUAUAGUUUUGGGGUAGGGUGGCCAUAUAUAAAGUAAGAUUGUGUAGAAGAAUUGUAAAGUGAGAUUUGUAAAGUAAUGUCAAUAUGUAAAGUAUGAUAGUGUAGAUUGUGUGUGGUGCCUUUGUGUAGAAGAAAGAAUUUAAGCAGGUAACUUCUAAAUUCUUACACAUAGGGUGGGUUCAGAUGUCGUGUGGUACCUAGCUACUGCUGACCUCUGUGUGACCUCAGCCUCAAGAAUAUAUGUGCCCCCUCCCAUCCCUGCACGAGUGGCUACUUCCUUUCUAGGUUAGAAUAUGUUGAGAUGGGUUGUGAUGUAUGAACCCACCAAUCUCGGCUUUUCGUAACCUACUUGCUUCAGAAAACUUGAGCCCCCAAACUCACUUGAACUCGAGCGUUAAGAUAAGCUGGAAAGGAAGGAAGAACUUGUACGUGAUGGCAGGUCAUGUGGAGUUCAGCUGUGCCUGCAACCAAGGAGGUAUCAUGUCACGUCUGAACAAAUCCGUACACCUUCAGACAGGCUAACAAGCUGCAUUUGCUGAUGCUACAGGUUCUAAGUGGGACUGCUAAUGGGAAGGUUCGGCAGCCUUGUUCUUCUUUGAAUUUGAGCACUAUAUUUUGGUGUUAACUCCUAGAUGAGAUAAAGUUCAUCGAGCACUGUACCAAACAGACAUCAAUGCAGCCAUGUUAGGGUAGAGAUAUAGUUCAGAUGAGAUGGUUUGGCUGAUUAAUCUUGUGCAGAAGAUUGUGUGCAUGCACUUGUGCCAUUUUGUCCCCAAAUAGUCACAUGGGGUGGACCAUCCAAACCACCCUUAAUUCCAUGGUUAAUACAUGGAAUGGUGUGCCAGGUGUGGGGUGGGAAAAUGUGCCUUCCGUGUUCCUCUUCAUGCAACUGGGCAGCUGAUUGGAUAGUUCUGUCCAAACUGGAAUUAAAACUUUAAAAUUAUUUAAAACCACAAGUCCGGUUAAAUGUUGGGGUGAAUAAAUGUGUCUUUAGACACUUUUUAAAAAGUUGUCAGAGGUGGGGAGGCUCUUAUUUCAGCAGGGCGCACAUUCCAGAGUCUCGGGGUGGCAACAGAUAAUCCCCCCCAUCCCGUGCAUCCACCAGAUAAACUGGGGACAACUGCAGAUGAACCUCUCCGGAUGACUUCAAUGGGUGAUGGGGUUCAUACUGAAGAAGAUGUUAUCUUAAAUACCUAGGACCUAAGCUGUUUAGGUCUUUAUAGGUUAUAGCCAGCACCUUGUAUUUUGCCCAGAAACCUCUUGGUAGCCGGACUAGUUCUUUUAAUAUAGGAGUAAUAUAGUCUCUUCGAGAGGACCCAGAGACCAACCAGGCUGCUGCAUUUUGUCUCCAAGUGACACCAUCUGGAAUCUGCCUGAGAGGUAGGAGUGGGACCACUGUAGAGCAGUGCCUCCCACUCUGAACCCCGUCAGACCCUCUAGAAGGAUACUAUGGUUGACAGUAUUGAAAGCCGCCGAGAGAUCCAAAAGGACCAACAAGGUCACACUCCCUCUGUCAAUUCCCCAUUGGAGAUCAUCCAUCAGAUCGACCAAGGCACUCUCUACCCCAUAGCCCACCCGAAAACGAACUUGAAACGGGUCUAGAUAAUCAGUUUCCUCCAGAGUUAAGCAACUGCCUGGAGCACUUCUCCGAUAACUCUGACUAUGGACAACUGGUUAUUAAAAUUAUGGGAUUAUGCUUUGAUAGCUAAGGACACAGCCUAUUUGAAAUCUGCUUCCAUUGAUUCAUUUGUAUCAGUUGGGGAACCUUUAUAAGUUUUAAUACUUGGCAAGGUUCUCAUCCACAUUUGAGAUCUGGUUUUGCUUAACAAGGAUGAUUGGUGUUGUUUAAAUUUUUUGUGCUUCUGUAGCUAUGAUAUUACCAAGGUUUGAAGGUGGAAAUAACUUUUCUUUUUUCAUGUUUCUGUUUUCUUGGGCUAUGAAUGUCUACAUUGAUCCAACAGUAUUUUUGUAAUUUGAUUGUUCAAAAGUUGUAUCUAAACAGUGAUGUACUUUCUUCUCUUUACCUUUUAUAAAAUUUAAAAAAUGAAAAGGA